rnacentral:lncRNA from 1 species
CGGUGAGUUAAGGACAUAUCCCUCUCACUGAUCUCACUUAUCUGGCCAACAUGAUAGAUUAUGCUCUGAUUAGAUCACUAGUCAAUUCAGAUAAACUCAUGCCAUUAAGGUGAAUCAGUGUGACUGAUUUAGGUAUCUUUAGACCAGCUUAUGUUUAAUCCUUUACAUGACUUAGUGAAGUCAGUGGAAGGAUUUGUAGCUCGAGAUCGAUUUCUUCUCUUAUUCUCAGAUCAAUGAAAUCAAAUCUUCUAAAUUAUUAGAUCCAUAAAUUGAUAAAGUUAUAAGAUAACUUAGUCAUUGCCUCUCAUUAAGAUACGUGAUAAUGAGUCCAAUAUUUCAAAUAGGCAUUGGAGGUGCCAUACGCUUGGUGUCUAUUACAUAUUGAAAUUAUCAUUCAUCAUAUGACCAUCAUGAUGUACCUUCAGAUCAAUGCUCAGAUUGGCCGAACCACACUCGGGCCUGAACAUCCAUUUGUUGGAUGCACUUGGUGUGCCAUGUUAACGGUUGGACCUAAUUGGGAUUUUCAGUGGAGGUGCCACACACCUGCUGAAGGAAAGCCUAGGGCAAAACUUAUUACUAGAAGUUGUUUGGAGAAAUAAUUGGUUAUGAACUUACCCAUAGAUGCACUA